GAAACAGACACACACACACCGUAAGCUCCCUACAAGACAGUCAACACAAAAAUAUGAGUGAAAAAUGAAACUAGAGGAAUAUUAAUCAACAUUUUAUUAAGCCCCUACAGACCCACCUAUGGCAUACAGCGUCAGUCCAGAGUACAGCCCCAGGUUGGUCUUGCUAGCCCCGAUGAGGAUGAAAGCAGGAGUCAUCGUCAUUAACCACUGUGGAUGGUGAGGGUGGUAGUGGAGGCAGUGGUGGGUUUAAUAAUAGUGUUACUGAUAAAUCCUGUUGUUUUAUAUUGUAAUUCUACACAGUAAAAAUAUAGAUUUGAAAAUAUACUUUGUAAACCUCAGUAACUUCCACUACAGCCCAUUAAACUAGAACCAUGAAAACACCCUUGAAAACCCCAGUAACUUGCACUACAGCCUGUUAGACUAGAACCAUGAAAACACCCUUGAAAACCCCAGUAACUUCCACUACACCCUGUUAAACUCGAACCAUGAAAACACCCUUGAAAACCCCAGUAACUUCCACUACACCCUGUUAAACAAAAACCAUGAAAACACCCUUGAGAACCCCAGUAACUUCCACUACACCCUGUUAAACAAAAACCAUGAAAAACACCCUUGAAAACCCCAGUAACUUCCACUACACCCUGUUAAACUCGAACCAUGAAAAACACCCUUGAAAACACACACACAGGCAACCCUUUCCCGGCCACACACACACACAAACCCUCUCCAACACACACACACACACACACACACACACACAAAC